rnacentral:rRNA from 1 species
CAGCAGGCGCGAAAACUUUACAAUGCGGGAAACCGUGAUAAGGGAACUCCGAGUGUCCGUAAAUGCGGACUGUCCAUAUGUCUAAAAAGCAUGUGAAGAAAGGGCCGGGCAAGACCGGUGCCAGCCGCCGCGGUAAUACCGGCGGCUCGAGUGGUGGCCACUAUUAUUGGGCUUAAAGCGUUCGUAGCUGGAUCGUUAAGUCUCUUGGGAAAUCUACCGGCUUAACCGAUAGGCGUCCAAGGGAUACUGGCGAUCUAGGGACCGGGAGAGGUGAGGGGUACUUCAGGGGUAGGAGUGAAAUCCUGUAAUCCUUGGGGGACCACCUGUGGCGAAGGCGCCUCACCAGAACGGCUCCGACAGUGAGGGACGAAAGCUGGGGGAGCAAACCGGAUUAGAUACCCGGGUAGUCCCAGCCGUAAACGAUGCGCGUUAGGUGUAUCGAUGACCACGAGUCAUCGAGGUGCCGAAGGGAAACCGUGAAACGCGCCGCCUGGGAAGUACGGUCGCAAGGCUGAAACUUAAAGGAAUUGGCGGGGGAGCAC